rnacentral:rRNA from 1 species
GUGGGGAAUCUUGCGCAAUGGGCGAAAGCCUGACGCAGCCAUGCCGCGUGGAUGAUGAAGGUCUUAGGAUUGUAAAAUCCUUUCACCGGUGAAGAUAAUGACUGUAGCCGGAGAAGAAGCCCCGGCUAACUUCGUGCCAGCAGCCGCGGUAAUACGAAGGGGGCUAGCGUUGCUCGGAUUUACUGGGCGUAAAGGGCGCGUAGGCGGACAUUUAAGUCAGGGGUGAAAUCCCGGGGCUCAACCUCGGAACUGCCUUUGAUACUGGGUGUCUUGAGUAUGAGAGAGGUGUGUGGAACUCCGAGUGUAGAGGUGAAAUUCGUAGAUAUUCGGAAGAACACCAGUGGCGAAGGCGACACACUGGCUCAUUACUGACGCUGAGGCGCGAAAGCGUGGGGAGCAAACAGGAUUAGAAACCCUAGUAGUCC